rnacentral:lncRNA from 1 species
CCCAUGAAGCCGCUUCUUCAGAUGCUGCGACACUAAUCUAAGCUUCCUUCCUGGCCUGCUCUGUCCUUCAGCGGCUAAUCCUGUUAGCAGGAGCCAGUGCGUUAUAAUCCUCCCACAUCGCCCCGAUCCUUCGUGGCUCAUAGUCUCGCAGCCUCUGUGAUGCUGGACCCCUACUGAAGCCCACAGGAUGUUAAGCUGGGUGGGUAAAGUGGUUCCCCAGCCCCCAGAGGCCUGCGAGGAGAAACCAGAAGCACGGCCUUCUGCAGCUGAGAAGAAGGUGACAUUCAAGGAAGAAAGCAAAAAAGGUUCAGAAAUAAUAUAUAUUUAAUCUUUUCUCCCCGCAUAUGGCAGACUAGGGAAAAUAACUCAAAUAAA